UUCUGCGAUAUUUUCAUUUUAGCGCAAUUUUUUAGCAUCGGCUAUUAUUUCACUCUUGCCCAGUUAUGGUGGGUAAAGAGGAUCUGAAUGAUGCUUAUAUUAAAGUUCGGAUUUUUUUAGUUCUCUCUGAACUAUCCAUUCAUAGUUCUUGGAGUUCGGAACUCCUAAAU